AUUGGACGCUGGCGGCAUGCCUUACACAUGCAAGUCGAACGGUAACAGGUCUUCGGAUGCUGACGAGUGGCGAACGGGUGAGUAAUACAUCGGAACGUGCCUAGUAGUGGGGGAUAACUACUCGAAAGAGUGGCUAAUACCGCAUGAGAUCUACGGAUGAAAGCAGGGGAUCGCAAGACCUUGUGCUACUAGAGCGGCCGAUGGCAGAUUAGGUAGUUGGUGGGAUAAAAGCUUACCAAGCCGACGAUCUGUAGCUGGUCUGAGAGGACGAUCAGCCACACGUGGACUGAGACACGGCACAGACUCCUACGGGAGGCAGCAGUGGGGAAUGUUGGACAAUGGGCGAAAGCCUGAUCCAGCAAUGCCGCGUGCAGGAUGAAGGCCUUCGGGUUGUAAACUGCUUUUGUACGGAACGAAAAGCCCCGGGUUAAUACCCUGGGGUCAUGACGGUACCGUAAGAAUAAGCACCGGCUAACUACGUGCCAGCCGCCGCAGUAA
rnacentral:rRNA from 1 species